rnacentral:rRNA from 1 species
AUUGAACGCUGGCGGCAUGCCUUACACAUGCAAGUCGAACGGCAGCACGGACUUCGGUCUGGUGGCGAGUGGCGAACGGGUGAGUAAUACAUCGGAACGUGCCCAGUAAUGGGGGAUAGCUCGGCGAAAGCCGGAUUAAUACCGCAUACGCCCUGAGGGGGAAAGUGGGGGACCGCAAGGCCUCACGUUAUUGGAGCGGCCGAUGGCUGAUUAGCUAGUUGGUGAGGUAAAGGCUCACCAAGGCGACGAUCAGUAGCUGGUCUGAGAGGACGAUCAGCCACACCGGGACUGAGACACGGCCCAGACUCCUACGGGAGGCAGCAGUGGGGAAUUUUGGACAAUGGGCGCAAGCCUGAUCCAGCAAUGCCGCGUGUGCGAAGAAGGCCUUCGGGUUGUAAAGCACUUUUGUCAGGAAAGAAAGCCAUUGGGUUAAUACCCUGAUGGGAUGACGGUACCUGAAGAAUAAGCACCGGCUAACUACGUGCCAGCAGCCGCCGUAA